ensembl:lncRNA
GACGGCACAGACCCGGACCCCUACGUGAAGCUCUACCUCCUCCCGGACCCCGCAGAAAACCAGCAAGAGGAAGACAAAGGCGGCGCGACGCACCUGCAACCCGACCUACAAUGAGAUGGUAAUCAGACAGGAAAUGCACACAUUUAUUUUGGGUUAAAUUGAAUCAGGAACAUUUAUUGCCAAAAUAUGUUUGACAGGACAAAAACUGGAACAAGCGCUUCGAUAGUACGACACUAACACUACUAGUGUUUGUUGGAGCUGGUGUACGAGCGGAUCCCUCGGGGGGACCUGGACCAGAGGGUGAUCCACUUGCGGGUUCUUGGGGACGGGGCUUUCUGGGAGAACACCCUGCUGGGAGAGACCCUGAUCCCGCUGAAGAGGCUGGUCCCGGGUCAGCACUGGGUGGACUGGCACCAACUGGGCGCCGCCGGCUCAGACUCCGCCCACUGACGGACAGGAAGCAGUGGAGUCCAAAGGGAGAGAAGAAGAGAACCAGUCCUUCUUUCGGGGGAUGGAGGAAGAAGAAAAAAGGAAAGUCCUUUCAAAGUAAAAGCUGUGUGGCGGAUCCUCCCUCUGUGUGAGAGGGAGUUUAAAGUUAAACCGUUUAACUUCACUAACAUCAUCAGUUUAGGAUUUUUGGUUUGUUUUUGGGGAAAAAAGACAAAAUCUGGACUUUUUAACUUUUAGUUUUUUCACUUACAGGACGCUUUAAACUUUCAGAAUGUCUGCUGAUGUGAUUUCAAACAAAUUGCACAAUGAAGUCGUUAAAAACUGAAACUUACUUACUAGUUCUUAUUUUAGCUUCAAAUUAGAUACAAUUAUGUGAACUGUAACUGCCAGCAGACGCCCGUUAGAAUAUUUGUUUAAGCGAAGACGCCUUCAGAACGUUACUGUCCAGAGAAACGUGCGUGUUCCGUAUUUCAGUUGCAAAGUGCGUAGACCUUUGCAUAACAUCUCUGAAUAGUCAGACGGCUAAAUUAAUCUAUCUUUAAAGAGCAGUGAUUUUAAUUUCAAUAAACUGAUCGAACGGAAGGAUGACGCCAAUUUGUAAAAAGUUCGAGUUCGGCUCGAUCGAGGCCUGGACGCCGGUGACGACGGAAGAAUCGUCGGUCAUUAAUCAAGUGAUUCAUUUUGCUCUGAGUUUGAGAGGGGUUUUCAUUUCCUUUUAUUCACUGGUUUUGGUUUUGAAGUGGAUGCGACAUAAAUGAGGUGAAAUGAUUUCUGUCAGUGAGAAAAGAAAAACACAUGAUGAGUUAAAGAUGAAUAUAAUCGCGAUUAAAAGAUUGUUUUUCGUACGUUUCAGUCGGCACAGGUGCAUGUUGGGAGAAUUGAGACGCCGUACUGUUCAGUUGGUUUACAUUGCACAAAAUUCGAACAUACUUUAAUACAGUUUGAUUUCCAUCUUUUGGCAAACAAGAUGAAAAACUGAAUCGCAUCAGAAAAAUAAUUUUUGUUGAGUCAUUUUGAAUUCCAUGUGCGAUUUGUUCUGCAGCUUUUAGUGUCCUGAGGAUAAACACCCUCCGCCCCCCUACUGGGCGUCUGUAGUAGAGCAGUUCAAGCUUCGUCUGUACAUGCAGAGCUUCAGCCUCAAUGUGGCCAGCGGGAUAUUCUUAUAUCGAGGAUGAUUUGAUUUCUCUUGUUGGUGCAUGCGAGACAGAGAUCCGGUUGGCCUUCGUUUCCAUGUUUCAUUCCUUCAUUUUGUUUUCAAUCCUGUGAUUUUCUACUGUGUUUGGUGGGAGGGGGACCUGCAGCAGACAAACCAGCACUUUUCCAAAUGUCACACCUUGAAUAUCAGCAUUCUGAGAGACACAAUGUUGAUUUUCGAGUUUACCUUCUUUAUUUGACCUCUUACCUUCGUGACUCAGUUGAGUUAACUUCAACCACGCCCUUUUCUUUACUCUCACAAAGCGGUUUUAUUGCCUAAACCUGACUUCCUGUGAAGGCAGAACUUUAUUUUGAAAAGACGCUAUGUAUGUAACAGAGUUUAUUUUGACACGCCGUCCCUGAGGUGCAGAAAAGUAGCAUGAGUGUUUCUGUGUGAGGCUCAGGAGCACUGAACUAAGCAAAGAUUUGGGAGACGAUCUAUAAAUCAUGAGUUCUACUUUUGACCCAAAUGCUCUCCUGUAAAUCUUCAAAAGGACCAAAUUGGCACAUUGUCUCAGUACUGAUCCUAUCCGGGUAUAUUCUGAGUGGCGACGAUUAGACGACCCGAUUAAUUGGUCGAUCGACAACUAUUUUGAUAAUCGACAACUAUUUUAUAAAAAAAUGCUGAUUUCGCCUCUCAGAUGAGGAUUUUAAAGACUUCAUACAUUUGACAUGUGAAUAAAUGAUAAAUAUACAUUAGGAUCUGCAGAUUUCAUUAUUGAUCAAAAAGUAUAAUCUGUUAACCCAAGACCUAUUUAGAGAUUUGGUGAUUAAUUUUUUAACAAAAAAGUCCCAAGAAACAAUAUUCCUGUCAGAGAAAAGGAGUUUGUGUGAAGUGAUUAUCUUACAUUUUGUUAGAGUUCAGUAGAGCUGAGAGGAGACGAGCAGUGAAGAAAACCGGAGCAGAAUGUAAGUUCACAGUGAACUGGAUCUUUAAGUACUGUACAGACUCCAUGAAAUGUGACGAGGUUUUCCACGGCAGCGCAGGCUUAUUAAUGUCUAUUAAUUUUAUUCUAAACAUGUUUUGUAUUAUUUGCACUACAAAAUAAACUUGAAUUGAACAAAA